AAUCGUCACUAGCCUCUGCGAAGGAGAAACAUUUGCAGCUGGUGGAGGAGAAGGGAGAGGUGGUUAAAAAAGAAACAUUUUAGAGAACAGCCUUCCGGUUUGGUGUGAGAGAUCGUUCACGCAGUGCUAGGCAACAGAAUUCGGCUUGCAGGCAGCCAUGGUGACCGUGAAUGAUAUCACUUUCCUGAGGAUAACAAAGAGAGAUAAGGAAUGGAUAUUGUCUGCAUGCCAGCAAACACCGGGACCAUACGCUGCCAUGCUUUGUUAUGCAAUGAUUCCAGACUACGUGCUACUGGCCUGGCGUGGUAAAGUGUCCUACCAUGGCGGACAGGAUAAGGCAGCCCUCCCCAGAAACCUUUUGCAAAGGCUUUGGGAGUACAUAAAGGAGAUCUUUCUGGAGAUGUCCCCGGAGGAUUUCUGCUCCAUCCCCAUACACAUUAACAGACUUUUCCAGUAGCUGUACUGGCUGUGAUUGCCAGGACAAAUUUAUCAUUAAUCAUUUAACAUGCUUCCUUUCAAAUCAUGUGCAAUAUUUA